UACGGAGGGAGCUAGCGUUGUUCGGAAUUACUAGGCGUAAAGCGCGCGUAGGCGGCUUUGUAAGUUAGAGGUGAAAGCCCGGAGCUCAACUCCGGAACUGCCUUUAAAACUGCAUCGCUUGAAUCCAGGAGAGGUGAGUGGAAUUCCGAGUGUAGAGGUGAAAUUCGUAGAUAUUCGGAAGAACACCAGUGGCGAAGGCGGCUCACUGGACUGGUAUUGACGCUGAGGUGCGAAAGCGUGGGGAGCAAACAGG
rnacentral:rRNA from 1 species